UGGCGCGUGACGCCGGGACGCCGGGCGCUUUCCCGCCGGCGGUGGCCGCGGGCCCGGGAGACUGUUUGGCACUGAAGCUGGGCCCCGGCGAGGGCGCGGGAGAGCGCGGGAUCCCAGAGUCGGGAAGCUGGCACCGAGAGGGCCAGCGCACACGCGCGCCCCUGCCCGACGCGGUGGUCGCGGGCAUCCUGGGUAUCUGCUAUUAAGGCUCCUUGGAUUCUGUCAGCUCGAUGUCCUGGGAGAUGACUGAGGUUCCCACAGACCAAACUGUGGCAUAGCACCAGACAGGUAACAAUACUGAGGUUUUCUCUGUGUCCAUGUGAGGAGAGCAACGGCUCACCCCGAAAUGGAAUGCCCGACGUCUCAGAACUCCUUCAUGCUGCUGGGUCACUGCCACUUCUGUCUUCCUCCAAAAUACCACCUCAUACCUAGAGCACGGCACCACUAAGCACAGAUUCUGGUGUGGAUGUGUAAAGAGGUGAUGCCUGGAACGAUGACAGCCUUUUGCGGACCAUUAGAGGAGCUCUCCAAAGGAUAAGCCGGCAUACUAAGGAUGCACUAUUCACAAUAGUCAAGAUGUGGGAACUACCGAAAAGUUCACCAACAGAUGAAUGAAUGGAGAAAAUGUGAUGUAUACAUACAAUGGGAUAUUACUCAGCCUUAAAGGACAUUCUGCAAGAUGUGACAACCCCGGGUGAAACUUGGGGACAUCAUACUAAGUGAAAGAAGCCAGAAAAAACAGAAAGGUAAAUAAUGUGUGAGGUAUCUAAAAUAGUAAAACUCAUAAAAUCAAAGAGUAGAAUGGUGGUUACCAGGGGCUGGGGGAAAGGGGAAGUUGGGAGUUAUUAAUCAAUGGGCAGAAAGUUUCAGCCGAGCAAGAUGAGUAAUUUUGAGAGAUCUGCUGUAUCACCUUGUACUUACGGUCAACAAUAACGAAUUAUGCACUUAAAAUUUUUUUGAGAGGGUAGGUCUCAUGUUAGGUGUUCUUACCACAUUAAUUAAAAAAUAUAUAAACCUUUGCUCUUAUAAGCCCCUAGAAGAGAAUGAAAAGACAAGCCACAGACAGGGAUACAAUAUUUUCAAGUCUUAUAUCAAAUAAAGGUCUUAUAUACAGACUAUAUAUCAAAUAUCAAAAUUCAAUAAUUAUAACUUAAUUGUUUGAAUGGGCGAAAAAUGUGAACAGAUACUUUACCCCCAAAGAUAUAGGGAUGGCAAAUAAACACAUUAAAAGAUGCUCAAUAUCAUUCGUCGUUAGGGAAAUCCAAACUAAAACCACCCUGAGAUACCACUACAUAUUCAUCCCAAUGGCAACACAGGUGAAUCACUGAAUGAUAGGAGCCAGCCCCAAAAGUUCAUACUAUAGCAUUCUAAGUUUUAUAAAAUCCUGGAAAAGCAAAUUUAUCUGUAGUGACAAGAAACUGUCUACUCGGUUGAGUAGGGUGGGGAGAAGUGACAGGGAGGAAUAUAAAGAUUUGGAGGCGAGGGAUAUGUUCAUUAUCCAUUGCUGCUCAUGGUGGCGUAUAUGUUCGUAUAUGCAUCAUUCAUGUAUACAUGUGUCAACACUAACCAAGUUGCACACUUUAUACAAAGCUUACUAUACCACAAUUAUAACUCAGUAAAUUCUAUCUUUAGGAAAUAAUCACAGAUAUUUAGGAAAUCAUCUUUAAAAAAUAAUCACCAUAAAAAUGUAUUUAUAAGGAUAUUCAUUGCAGAAAUAUUUACAGUAGCAUAGAAACUCAGAGGUAGAUUCAAAGCCCAGUGAUAGAAAGAUGUAAAUUGUUCUUUUACAUUAUAAAAAUAAGUAUUAUACAUUUAUAUAAUGUGAGAUUUGUGAUGGAAUUUUACUCACAUGAGGAAAGGCACGCAGUAUGUUACUGAAGAAAAGCAGGAUACAAAAUCUUGAAAUAUAAUCACAAUUUAACUACCGUCUCCCCCUCAC